rnacentral:rRNA from 1 species
UCGAGAAUUUUUCACAAUGGGGGAAACCCUGAUGGAGCGACGCCGCGUGGGGGAUGAAUGGCUUCGGCCCGUAAACCCCUGUCAUUUGCGAUCAACCGUUGUUAUUUAAAAGAUGACAGCCUGAUAGUAGCGAAAGAGGAAGGGACGGCUAACUCUGUGCCAGCAGCCGCGGUAAUACAAAGGUCCCGAGCGUUGUUCGGAUUCACUGGGCGUAAAGGGUGCGUAGGUGGUUAGGUGUGUCGGAUGUGGAAUCUCGGAGCGCAACUCCGAAACUGCAUUGGAAACUACCUUGCUAGAGGGUGGGAGGGGGGACUGGAAUACUUGGUGUAGCAGUGAAAUGCGUAGAUAUCAAGUGGAACACCAGUGGCGAAGGCGAGUCCCUGGACAACUCCUGACACUGAGGCACGAAAGCUAGGGGAGCAAACA